rnacentral:rRNA from 1 species
UACGUAGGGUGCAGGCGUUAAUCGGAAUUAUUGGGCGUAAAGCGUGCGCAGGCGGUCUGUUAAGACAGGUGUGAAAUCCCCGAGCUCAACUUGGGAAUUGCGCUUGUUACUGGCAGACUAGAGUGUGUCAGAGGGGGGUGGAAUUCCACGUGUAGCAGUGAAAUGCGUAGAGAUGUGGAGGAACACCGAUGGCGAAGGCAGCCCCCUGGGAUAACACUGACGCUCAUGCACGAAAGCGUGGGGAGCAAACAGG